AUUCACUUUACAGUCAGAGGAAGAGGCGGAGCUCAGCUAUCCUGUAUUUUCCCUUCUUGCUGCCGUUGGGAGACAGUCGAUGGAACUGUAGAGCUAGCUAACGGCUAUACCGCCACCUAGCUGCUUCCGGGCUGUGGCUCAGGAGGUUGAGCAGGACGUCCGUUUGUUGCAGGGUGGAUGGUUUGAUCCCUGGCUCCUUCUGUCCACAUGUUGAAGUGUCCUUGAGCAAGACGCUGAACCCAAAACUGCUCCCAGUGGCCGUGCCAGUGCCUUGCAUUGCAGCUCUGUCACCAUCAGUGUGGUACCUUGAGAGAAACUGGAACCUGGGCCAGUGGUGACGCUGAAGCGGGUGGUGGCCACUCUGAGAGUGCUGACAUUUUUCUGCGGCUGGAACAGGAUGAUGUGGACCUUGGGAGUGAAGAGGCAGCCCAACACCACCGACCCACUCAGACUGACAGAGAUGCACAUGGUGGUGGUCUGCACCUGGAGGAGGAAAGAGAGAGCAGCCGAAGAUAGACAGUAAAGGAGGAGAGAGAGAGCGGGGAUGACAUGCAGUAAAGGUCCAGGGGCUAGAUUUGAACGCAGGCCACUGCGGUAAGGACUCACCAGGCACACCUCUGCCAAACCACCAGACAGCCCGGCAGCAACCACAGAUGGGGAAGACAGGAGCUAGCCUGCAAGAGCGUCAUAGAACUUCGCCUCCACACUUAAUUCAAUCUGUGCCCAUGUAACGCCAGCAUGGCUAGGCUAGGCCUGCAGCCAGAUUCGCCCCCAUAUCUGCGAUUGUCACACCACAACACCAGCAGCACAGCAACACGCUCCUUCAUUGUGACAGAUUUAGACAGCACUCGGCGUUCUGACCACCUGUCAGUUCACCGUGUUCCACCAUGUCGCCAUGGCAAUAAGGGUCUUUAGACUAAUAUUGUUGGUUGUCCUGUAACUGCCUUCUCUUUGGGGUGAAAUACACACAUCUGACUUAACCACCUGCCGUUCACACAGAAGGGAAGGCAUGGUAGCCUUUCACACAGCCAGGCUGGUUCACCCAAAGGUCUGACUGGCUAUAGAUUAUGCACAAACCAGGCAGCUACAAAGGACAGAAACAUUAUGUGGAGAUGGUAUCUGCAGAGCAACAACCAGCGGCAGCACAGAAAUGCCACAUAUUCACAUGCCCCAAAUGCAUAUCUUUGUGUAGUAAAAUUGCCCCUGAAAAUACAGCAGCACGUGUAAACAGAUACACCUUGUCUUGUUUUCAAAGGGCACAUCUCACACAGCAAAUCUUUAAAACAUCAGGUAGAUUAAAUCCGUUGCAAGGAUCACAAUUCAUUUUGAAAAGCUAGCAAGUGAUUAAAAAAAUAAGGCAAAUUAACAGUUCCCGAGACUGUGAGUGUAGUCGUCUGACAUGAUUAGAUGUUCACCAACCAGCCAAGAGAAAGAGCAAGAGCUAGCACACCUCAUAACUGAACUGCAUUAUAAUGUAGAGGGUUAUUCAUGGUGAGAAAGGGAACUGUGUCCUGUGGUGCACUCCCACUGAUGAGGAAGAUUCAGUGAGAAGCUAGGGCAGACCUCAGACCUCAGGCUUGUAAUAGUACAUCCAUAAAUUACCACAAACUCUCUGAGGAGCCCCAGAUGCAAUGCUUCACUAAAAUUACAGCUCGUUUAUCAAAUUCUUUAUUUCCAAACUGUCCUUUUCACCAGGAAUCCCAAUAUAGGUGCUAUGAAUCCUCCUCUUCCAUUAUUUCCCAGGAGCUCUCUACCCGUAUAAUGUAUCAUUGUACUGUGCUGUACUUUUGGCAUUGUGUUUUGUCAGCAGGGAGACCAAAAUAUUUGUUUUGGAAGUAUGAAAAACAGAUGUUUGCAGAGUUCCAGUACAAUCUGGGAAUAUUAAACCUAACAUACUUUUAAUAGUAGCAUUUACUCAUUCGAAUAAAAGUAGAUAUAUGAAUUUAUUUUUAACACACUGCUCUAAACUUGUCUCCAAAAUACAGACAGGGUUUUCACAGGCCCACUUGAGAAAACAUUUGUAUGACAGCUGAUAGACACUGAAGCAGCUAUUUACUGUGAUUCAUUUAUUGUUGGCAUAUCAGUGCUUACAUGUCUACUGCUGGCCACUGUCUACAAAUAAUGACUAAAAUGUAUGGAAGGAUGCCACCACCAGCCUAUUGUCCUGAAGUACCCACUGGGGAAAGCUAUUAAAAACAAAGGCAGGGGUUCCUAUAGUAUCUAUGGUUUAUCAAUUAUCUGAAGCCAAUUAUUAUUUCUGGAUAGGCAGCAGUGUGUUCCUGUCUUCAAACAAGCAGAUAUCUGGAACAUGAGGCUGCGUGUCUCGAGUGAGGUGAACCAUGCUCUUCAGCCGAGACAGCAGACACGGUCCUCUGGCUGACUGAGCCAGGAUGAUGAGUUUAAGGUAAUGCUUUAAGGCAUGUAUAUUUGUGGAUAUUUACAAAUCUCAAUUCCACAUGACACACUACCUCUUUUCACAAUGAUUUGAAAUUACACUGAUGUGGCAGCCAUAUUACAGCUGAAGAUUCGGAGACCCAAUUAGCAGAGCUUUCAUCACAUCAGCUUGAGCCGAAAGGAGCACUGCUGCUGAGAGUAAUCAUGCCGUCACUAGUCAUUCUGUCAGCCUGUCCCGAGCGCAACAUCUGUAGCACGUCUGCCUCUGACAGGACCACGGCUGAAGUGUGAAUUACCGGGAAAGAGAAAGAGAUCUUCUAAAUUAGAUCAGCCAAGCGUAUGGGCAUACAGGUAAACAGAUCCUCCUUGCGGAACUGAUACUCAUUAAGUCCCUGUGUUAACAUCUCGCAAGGGGUAAUUGCACAUGGUACUUAAGUCUAAAUGGACAGUUAUAUGACCAUCUAUCACAAUCUCGCUCUUGCUUGUACUCCCUCCUCUCUCUGUCUCUCUCUCUCAAGCCCACUGUAGCUGCUGUCAGUUAAAUACACCUUAUGUAAUUGCACUGUCUGACAAAAUUAAUGUAGCUUUUGACCAACAAAUUUAAUGGCAUGAAACAAAGAUGAUCUUCAACAGCAAAUAGAAAAUUAUUGAUUCUAUUGCCGAUACAAUGUAGACAGUCCACCCACUUGU